UGUAUUAGAAUGAGUGUUGGUUAACCUGGAUGUAUGUGGUUAGUUCAUUUUGAUUUUAUCUUAGUCUUGAUUUCUUAAAGCUGCAGUUCAGAUUAACUACUCAACAAUAACUAUCGGGACCAGUGAUUUGAUCUUUCGGAAAGAGUAUCUCUACCUCCACGAGGAACGACAGAUAAUAAUUUAUGGGCACUGAAAAGCAAAUAUGUACAAAAAGUUGAAGAGUUGAUGGUCCCUGUGAAAGCUGUGACACCACUAGAAUUGAAUGAUAGACUGUAAAAUUUUAAUGUUCUUUCACCUCCUUGAUUAUUCUUCUUUUCUUUCUUUCUUUUGAAGUUGUUUAAUUUGUGUUAACAUUUCAUGUCUUUUUCUUUAUUGAUGGUUUGGUAUGGUGUAUAAUUUGCAGAUGCUUGAAUGAAUAAACUUUGUUUUCUAAUUUUUCA